rnacentral:tRNA from 2 species
GGUGCUGUGGUCUAGUGGUAGGACGUUACGUUGUGGCCGUGCCAGCGCCGGUUCGAUUCCGGCCAGCGCCA